rnacentral:rRNA from 1 species
GAUGAACGCUGGCGGCGUGCCUAAUACAUGCAAGUCGAGCGAACAGAUGAGGAGCUUGCUCCUCUGACGUUAGCGGCGGACGGGUGAGUAACACGUGGAUAACCUACCUAUAAGACUGGGAUAACUUCGGGAAACCGGAGCUAAUACCGGAUAAUAUAUUGAACCGCAUGGUUCAAUAGUGAAAGACGGUUUUGCUGUCACUUAUAGAUGGAUCCGCGCCGCAUUAGCUAGUUGGUAAGGUAACGGCUUACCAAGGCAACGAUGCGUAGCCGACCUGAGAGGGUGAUCGGCCACGCUGGCACUGAGACACGGUCCAGACUCCUACGGGAGGCAGCAGUAGGGAAUCUUCCGCAAUGGGCGAAAGCCUGACGGAGCAACGCCGCGUGAGUGAUGAAGGUCUUCGGAUCGUAAAACUCUGUUAUUAGGGAAGAACAAAUGUGUAAGUAACUAUGCACGUCUUGACGGUACCUAAUCAGAAAGCCACGGCUAACUACGUG